GAUGAACGCUGGCGGCGUGCCUAAUACAUGCAAGUCGAGCGAACAGACGAGGAGCUUGCUCCUCUGACGUUAGCGGCGGACGGGUGAGUAACACGUGGAUAACCUACCUAUAAGACUGGGAUAACUUCGGGAAACCGGAGCUAAUACCGGAUAAUAUAUUGAACCGCAUGGUUCAAUAGUGAAAGACGGUUUUGCUGUCACUUAUAGAUGGAUCCGCGCCGCAUUAGCUAGUUGGUAAGGUAACGGCUUACCAAGGCAACGAUGCGUAGCCGACCUGAGAGGGUGAUCGGCCACACUGGAACUGAGCCACGGUCCAGACUCCUACAGGAGGCAGCAGUAGGGAAUCUUCCGCAAUGGGCGAAAGCUUGACGGAGCAACGCCGCGUGAGUGAUGAAGGUCUUCGGAUCGUAAAACUCUGUUAUUAGGGAAGAACAAAUGUGUAAGUAACUAUGCACGUCUUGACGGUACCUAAUCAGAAAGCCACGGCUAACUACGUG
rnacentral:rRNA from 1 species